GACAGAGGGUGCAAGCGUUGUUCGGAAUUACUGGGCAUAAAGCGCACGUAGGCGGUUCGCUAAGUCUGUCGUGAAAUCCCCCGGCUCAACCGGGGAACGGGCGCGGAUACGACCUUCCUGGAGGGGCGUAGGGGGACCUGGAACUUCCGGUGGAGCGGUGAAAUGCGUUGAGAUCGGAAGGAACGCCCGUGGCGAAAGCGAGGUGCUGGACCCUUUCUGACGCUGAGGCGCGAAAGCCAGGGGAGCAAACGGG
rnacentral:rRNA from 1 species